rnacentral:rRNA from 1 species
GACGAACGCUGGCGGCGUGCUUAACACAUGCAAGUCGAACGGAAAGGCCCUGCUUUUGUGGGGUGCUCGAGUGGCGAACGGGUGAGUAACCCGUGAGUAACCUGCCCUUGACUUUGGGAUAACUUCAGGAAACUGGGGCUAAUACCGGAUAGGAGCUCCUGCUGCAUGGUGGGGGUUGGAAAGUUUCGGCGGUUGGGGAUGGACUCGCGGCUUAUCAGCUUGUUGGUGGGGUAGUGGCUUACCAAGGCUUUGACGGGUAGCCGGCCUGAGAGGGUGACCGGCGACAUGAGGACUGAGAUAGGGCGCAGACGGCUACGGGAGGCAGCAGUGGGGAAUAUUGCACAAUGGGCGGAAGCCUGAUGCAGCAACGCCGCGUGCGGGAUGACGGCCUUCGGGUGGUAAACCGCAUUCGCCUGUGACGAAGCGUGAGUGACGGUAAUGGGUAAAGAAGCACCGGCUAACUACGUG